rnacentral:rRNA from 1 species
UGGUGGAGUGAUUUGUCUGGUUAAUUCCGUUAACGAACGAGACCUCGACCUGCUAAAUAGUUCGGUGUAAGCGUCAGCUUACAUUCGUGACUUCUUAGAGGGACUAUUGGUGCGUAGCCAAUGGAAGUUCGAGGCAAUAACA